UGGGCUGAAAAUCGGCCUCCAUAGAAAUAGAAACCGAAGUCUUAAAUUUGAACUUUUUUUUAUUGGAAUAGCUUUUGUUAGGUUUUAUUAUGUCCCAAAAUUAAUCUUAGCUAAUUUGGUUGGAAAAAUAAUUAAUUAUAAUUUUUUUUCAAAGUCUUUGUAUCGCGCGUAUCAGAAAAAACGAGUUUUUUCCGAAAAUAAAAAGUUAACCGUAAUAUCCUGACAGAUGAUUUUAAAACCAAUUAUUCUUGAUUUUUCCACAUAAUUAGAAUUUUCCUACGGGGUGCACUUUUUUUUUAAAAAUCGAUAUAUUUUUUUAUUUUAAUUAUCUUAUUUUUUUAUUUUAAUACGGUUAUACUCGUUAUUUUGACUACAAAAAAUGAAUUUGAGUUUGAUCGAACCAAUAACUUACGCGUAGUGAAUUUUUGAUGUAAUGGUUUUAUUUUCAAUUUUCUACUUGUAACUCUUGUAUGUUUAUUAUUUAUUUGAUUAAAACAAUGAGAAAAAGUUAUUUCAGCAUGAAAAAAUAAGUUUUUUAUUUUUUGUUAAAUAAGUGCAUACGGUAGAAAAGUUCGCGUUAUGUCAAAAUAUCAUUAAUAAUUGGUACUUAAAUCAUCUGCAAGGAUAUUACGGUAU